rnacentral:misc_RNA from 1 species
AUUAUAGAGCAGCACUUGUGUGUAAAUUUUAAGUAGACCUUGAAUUUUGAACUGUUGGUUGUUUUAAUCCUUUGUGUUUCAGUGCCAAUUAAGAUCGAGCUUUUCAUUGAAAUUCAUUGAUGAUUGCCAAGAGUUGAAAAACUUUCUAAUCUAGCGAACUAAAUUCCUUUUUUUUUUUUUUGGUACAUAUAUGUAAAUCAUUAUAUUGAAAAUAUUGUGGUGGUAAUAAUCAUUGUUAUCACUUUUUAAAAAAAAAAAAUCGUUUAUUUAUCAAAGAAUUAGUUGAAAUUUUGUUUCUGUUGUAAUUUUUCUGUUUUAUACGUAUGGAUUUUUUUUUUCAAAUGCAAUCAUUGAUGUGAAAUUUUGUUUCUCUAGCUCUGUUUGGAACUUGAUCAUGAAACGCAUUUUGAAAAAUAUAUAUUCUCUUUGUUUAUCGAAGCAUGAAUUCUGAGGAAGAGUUCUGAAUUGCUUUGGCUGUCUGUGAUACAGAUGUUUAUUUAUAUAUAUAUAUGUGUAAUAAUAAUUGUAUCAUACAGAUUUUAUUGUUUAUUAUUGAAUGAUUUGACUGUAGAAAUAUAUUUGUUACAUGAUAUAUUAAUUAUUAAAGAUGAAAUUUCC